GACGAACGCUGGCGACGUGCCUAAUACAUGCAAGUCGAACGCUGAAGGAGGAGCUUGCUCUUCUGGAUGAGUUGCGAACGGGUGAGUAACGCGUAGGUAACCUGCCUGGUAGUGGGGGAUAACUAUUGGAAACGAUAGCUAAUACCGCAUAAUAACAGUUGUUGCAUGACAACUGUUUGAAAGGUGCAAUUGCAUCACUACCAGAUGGACCUGCGUUGUAUUAGCUAAUUGGUGGGGUAACGGCUCACCAAGGCGACGAUACAUAGCCGACCUGAGAGGGUGAGCGGCCACACUGGGACUGAGACACGGCCCAGACGCCUACGGGAGGCAGCAGUAGGGAAUCUUCGGCAAUGGACGAAAGUCUGACCGAGCAACGCCGCGUGAGUGAAGAAGGGUUUCGGAUCGUAAAGCUCUGUUGUAAGAGAAGAACGAGUGUGAGAGUGGAAAGUUCACACUGUGACGGUAUCUUACCAGAAAGGGACGGCUAACUACGUG
rnacentral:rRNA from 1 species